UCAUCUGAGAUUGCCUUUCUAAUGGCCAAUGAACCGGAAAAAGGUCAUUGCUGAAGCGUGUUAAAUUCACUUUUGACAUGCAUUGUAGCCUUUAGGGUAACUAUUGUAUGGUGCCUGUUCGUGUGAGUUCCUUUGAUCAGGGCUUUAACCAUAGAAGGUGCUAGUCCUAUAAUCACGAAUAGUUGUGCUGUACAUUGUAUACCUUUCGAGUAGCGUAAUUUGAGAUUGCUACGCCAACGUGGGACGUAAACUUGUUCCAAAGCUAAAUAUUAUAACGAGACCGAUAGCGAACAAGUACCGUGAGGGAAAGUUGAAAAGCACUCUGAAGAGAGAGUUAAAUAGUACGUAAAACCGUACAGAAGAAAACGAAUGGCCGCAUUCAUCAGAUUACUUUGAAUUCAAUUCGAUCUCUAUAUGAUGGUGAUACAUGUUGAUUUCGAACUUCAACAGUCGAUCGAUAUGUUAUUGCCUGGAGUCGGAUGCAUUUUCAAAGUAUUAACUGAACCUGGAUCUAUAACAUUGAAAGCUAGUCGAAUCAGUCUAUUUUGGUGGCGAGUUUACUCGUGUUAAAAAUAUGACUUGCAUAAAUAACAAAUUCGACUUGGCGUUAUAGGUAAACAGACAAGUUCUUUGAUUUCAGUACUUUCGAGUACGGCAUACUAUAUGCAUUGUUGGUGUCACAUGAGUAACUAAUAUUUAACCGAUAUUAGUUUUAUUCAUUGUCGGUGCCUAAUGUUGUAUGGUUGUCAAUGAAAUCGGCAAGUCUACAGGAGUUUUGAAUGCCGAGUUAUUCGACCCGUCUUGAAACACGGUCUAAGGAGUUCACUGCAUGUGCAAGAGUUCGGCUGUAUGAAAAGCCUUGCUCGUAAUGAAAGUAAAGAACAUUCUUGCAAUGUUUUAAGUGUGAUUUCUGUCAUCUGGUGCAAAUCAUGACAAUGAACGCAACACUGACAGGUUCUAUUGCCGUUGGCAAAGAGCUUAGUAAGAGUAUAUGCAAUGAGACCCGAAAGAUGGUGAACUUAAUGUGUGUAGAAUGAAGCCAGGGGAAACCCUGGUGGAAGUUCGUAGCGGUUCUGACGUGCAAAUCGAUCGUCAAAC
rnacentral:rRNA from 1 species